CCAGACUCCUACGGGAGGCAGCAGUGAGGAAUAUUGGUCAAUGGGCGGAAGCCUGAACCAGCCAAGUCGCGUGAGGGAAGAAGGCCCUGCGGGUCGCAGACCUCUUUGGACGGGGAGCAAGGCCGCCGACGUGUCGGCGGAAGGAGAGUACCCGUAGAACAAGCAUCGGCUAACUCCGUGCCAGCAGCCGCGGUAAUACGGAGGAUGCGAGCGUUAUCCGGAUUUAUUGGGUUUAAAGGGUGCGUAGGCGGUCCGGAAAGUCGGCGGUAAAAGCCCGGGGCUCAACCCCGGCGAGCCGUUGAAACUGUCGGACUAGAGACGGCGAGAAGUACGCGGAAUGCGCGGUGUAGCGGUGAAAUGCAUAGAUAUCACGCAGAACUCCGAUUGCGAAGGCAGCAUACCGGCGCCCAACUGACGCUGAAGCACGAAAGCGUAGGUAUCGAACAGGAUUAGAUACCCUCGUA
rnacentral:rRNA from 1 species